UACGGAAGGCAGCAGUGGGGAAUAUUGCACAAUGGGCGCAAGCCUGAUGCAGCCAUGCCGCGUGUAUGAAAAAGGCCUUCGGGUUGUAAAGUACUUUCAGUCGUGAGGAAGGUGUUAAGGUUAAUAACCUUAGCAAUUGACGUUAGCGACAGAAGAAGCACCGGCUAACUCCGUGCCAGCAGCCGCGGUAAUACGGAGGGUGCGAGCGUUAAUCGGAAUUACUGGGCGUAAAGGGCACGCAGGCGGUUAAUUAAGUUGGAUGUGAAAUCCCCGGGCUUAACCUGGGAAUGGCAUUCAAGACUGGUUAGCUAGAGUCUUGUAGAGGGGGUAGAAUUCCAUGUGUAGCGGUGAAAUGCGUAGAGAUGUGGAGGAAUACCGGUGGCGAAGGCGGCCCCUGGACAAAGACUGACGCUCAUGUGCGAAAGCGUGGGGAGCAAACG
rnacentral:rRNA from 1 species